GCAACGAUAGCUUAAUCUAAAAGCAUUGGUCUUGUAAGCCAAAGAUGAAUUUAAAUAUUCUCGUUGCU
rnacentral:tRNA from 1 species